GAUGAACGCUAGCGGCAGGCCUAACACAUGCAAGUCGGGGGGUAGCAGGAUUAAGCUUGCUUAAUUGCUGACGACCGGCGCGCGGGUGCGUAACGCGUAUGCAACCUACCUUAUACUGGGGUAUAGCCCGGAGAAAUUCGGAUUAAUCCCCCAUAGUACUAAUGAAUCGCAUGGUUUAUUAGUUAAAGCAUUGCGGUAUAAGAUGGGCAUGCGUCCUAUUAGCUAGAUGGUGAGGUAACGGCUCACCAUGGCUACGGUAGGUAGGGGGCCUGAGAGGGUGGUCCCCCACACUGGUACUGAGACACGGACCAGACUCCUACGGGAGGCAGCAGUGAGGAAUAUUGGUCAAUGGGCGCAAGCCUGAACCAGCCAUGCCGCGUGCAGGAAGAAUGCCCUAUGGGUUGUAAACUGCUUUUAUUUGGGAAUAAACCUCUUUACGUGUAGAGAGCUGAAGGUACUAAAUGAAUAAGCACCGGCUAACUCCGUGCCAGCCGCCGCAGUAA
rnacentral:rRNA from 1 species